rnacentral:lncRNA from 1 species
ACAUUGAGUAAUAUGCAAGAAGAACUUGUAACCUUUGAUAUAAAUCCUGACGCGUGGAAAUGUUUUAGUCACUAUCUUUGCGGAAAAGCCCCGGGAAAUUAUGUAUGAUCUGGCACAGAGAGUGUGUAGCGCAUGGAAUUAGAACCCAACUUGCCGCAGUAGAGCGUGGCUGGACGUUAUUCUAUUUUGCAUCACAUCUGACAUUCAAACUUCAAGCUGGAUCUAUUAAAAAUAGCUGUCAAUCACCUUGGAAUAUGCAUCGACUCCACGUUACAACAACUCGAAAACGCACAGUUAUACUUCGUCAAACACCCAUCCCGAAAAGACACUCAAUUGCGGGACUAAGCACAGGGUUCCCGUAGAAUGUGCUAAAUCAUCGGUGAAAACCACAAACUCUAAAAACCUGGAGAUGAGCUCAUUUUCUUCAAUCUCGUGAAAAAAUAAAAAUAAAAAAAACAAAACAAAACGAAAACAAAAACUAUACAAAAUAAAAACAUUUCACUUCCACAAUCCAAUCAUAUUUACUUUCACCUCUUUGUUCUGGGAAUAAUAAGGCAUCUCACAUGCAAAGUGGAUGCUUUGUCCGGAAGAUGUGUAACCAUAUCCUAAAUCACUGAACAUGGUUAUAAACACACGAUCAUCCAACAUGAAUUCCACUGCUAGUCGAGGACUUCGCCGAAAAUGGGUGCAAUCCGUUUCACCGAGAACUCAUGAAACAGACUUUAGAACUGCACCGAAAAUUGGAUUAAGUCAGAAGUAGAUACAGGUCCCCUCAGUGAAGAGACUUAUUCUCGAAGGCCAAUCAAAGGCGCUUCUUUACUCGCAGCUGAAGUUGGAGUUUGCUGCUGCUACUACAGACCUUUUGACGUUUGACCAGGUCCUCUCAGUCACUGAUUUAUUGCCAGAGUCUCUGGGUCCCAUCCAGCCAAUUUAAGAUCUUGGCCUCCAUGAGCACUUGCUUGUUGGUCAAUUAUCAUUUAUUUAUUUAUAUAUAUAUAUAUAUAUAUAUAUAUAUAUGUGUGUAUGUGAAUGUAUGUAUGUUAAUAUAUAUAUAUAUAUAUAUAUGUGUGUGAAUGUAUGUAUUUUAAUAUAUAUAUAUAUGUGUGUGUGAAUGUAUGUAUGUUAAUAUAUAUAUAUAUAUAUAUAUAUAUAUAGACAGAUUGGUAGAUAGAGACUUUAGGUUGAGAGCUAAAUUAGGUUAAAACUCAAAAUUCAAACUAUGGUAGUUGCAAGUAAUGUUUUGAAACUUUGUUGAAGUGGUAUUUAUCAGCUUCAGAAUCUUUGUUCUCUUUGAAUAUUUCUUCUGUUGUACAGUUGAAAUUAUGUUGUUUAUUUUGUGUGAAAGAAUAUAAGCUUGAAACUAUACCGUCUCAGCAUUAUGCAAGUUACGGUUAUGAAGGUUAAUACACCUUGAGUGAAGGAAAGGGUUUUGCAUGCUUUCAUAGUUUACAUUCAUUUGUCAUGUGUUGAAAAUGCUUUGAGCAGUAAAGCACCUGUAAAAAGAUUUUUUGUGAAUUGUGCAGCACCUUAUAUUGGUUAUAUUUUUUAGUGUAAUGAAGUGUAAAAAUACAUUUGCAAUGAUAAAUUUAAUGUACCGUGAUAUAUAUAUAUAUAUACAUCUGUGAUUUUACAUAUGCACAUUGUAAUACAGAUGCCAAAAACUGUAGAAUAAACUAAACCAUCCUACUAUCCCAUUUUUGUAAAGCUGAAAAUAAAUAAUCAGAUAUUUGAAUAACUAAAAGCAUGACAGCUCCCUCAAUGAACGUCAUUGCUUUUACAAAAUAUUUUUCAAAUUAUUGAAAUAUCAACAUACAUACCUGCAUAUAUGCAUACAUAUAUCAUCAAAAAGAAAUUAUGUUAACAUAAAUCAUCAAAAAAAAGAAACGUAAGAGUUUCACAAUUAGACAUUAAAAUAAUGAAACAGUCAUGAAAAACACGCUGGCACAUCAUUUGCAGAAUCACACACACAUAGCUACAAAUUCUUUAGGGGCUUUUCACAAACCCAACUUUUCACAACAUUCCACACAACCAAACCGUCGAUACUUUCGCAAACCAUCGGAGGCACUUGACUCAUCAACACACCUUAUUUAAAAAGGACCCAUAAUUCCCCCUCAUCAAAAACCUAACAAGAAAAACAAAAAAACACGAAACAUGACAUGUAACACAUUGACAAAAUACAUGACAAACAAUAAAAAAAUCAUUGGAAUAAACACAUGCGCUGGUAGUGAUCAACCACCCAUGCCAUGCGUUGGAAAGGGGGAAGAAGAGGAAGCAGAAGCAGCAGCAGCAGAAGAAUUGCACAAUCCAGAACCUCGUGGGGGCACGCUAUGGAAACCCUAAAAAGCAGGGAAGAAGGAAGAGAUGGAGGAACACUCACUCACUCACUCACUCACUCACAUCGCUGAGGCAACACACACACACUGGCACAGAGAAGAGAAAUGAAUGAGCUUCUGUGUGGAGAUCACAACACAAUAGCUAGUGCGCACAUACACACACAUUCUCACACACAUAC